UACGUAGGUGACAAGCGUUGUCCGGAUUUACUGGGCGUAAAGAGCGCGCAGGCGGUCGAUCAAGUCGAGUGUGAAAGCCCCCGGCUCAACUGGGGAGGGUCAUUCGAUACUGAUCGACUCGAAGGCAGGAGAGGGAAGCGGAAUUCCCGGUGUAGUGGUGAAAUGCGUAGAUAUCGGGAGGAACACCAGUGGCGAAGGCGGCUUCCUGGCCUGUUCUUGACGCUGAGGCGCGAAAGCUAGGGGAGCAAACGGGG
rnacentral:rRNA from 1 species